rnacentral:rRNA from 1 species
GACGAACGCUGGCGGCGGGCUUAACACAUGCAAGUCGAACGGUAACGCCCUGCUGCUUUCUGGUUCUCUAGUGGCUAACGGGUGGGUAACACAUGACUAACCUGCCCCUUACUUUGGGAUAACUUCAGGAAACUGCGGCUACUACCGGAUAGUAGCUCCUCCUGCAUGAUGGGGGUGGGCAACUGUCGUCGGUUGGUGAUGGAAUCGCGGCUUAUCAUCGUGUGGGUGGGGUAGUGGCGUACCAAGGCUUGGACGGCUCGCCGUCCUGAGAGGGUGAACGGCGACCUUGGGCCUGAGAUACGGAGCAGAGUCCUACAGGGGGCAGCGGUGGGGAAUAUUGCACAAUGGGGGGAAGCGUAAGGAAGCGACGUCGGGUGCGGAAUGAAGGCCUUCGGGUUGUAAACCGCGUUAACCUGUGACGAAGCGUGAGUGACGGUAAUGGGUAAAGAAGCACCGGCUAACUACGUG